ACAAGCGGAGGAGUAUGUGGUUAAUUCGAUGCAACGCGAAGAACCUUACCUGGUCUUGACAUCCGGAGACCUUAGGAACUAGGGGUGCUUCCAUCUGGAAGAAUCUGGAGACAGGUGCUGCAUGGCUGUCGUCAGCUCGUGUCGUGAGAUGUUGGGUUAAGUCCCGCAACGAGCGCAACCCUUGCCUUUAGUUGCCAGCAGUUCGGCUGGGCACUCUAAAGGGACUGCCGGUGUUAAACCGGAGGAAGGUGGGGAUGACGUCAAGUCCUCAUGGCCUUUAUGACCAGGGCUACACACGUACUACAAUGGCCGAUACAAAGGGCAGCGACACUGCGAGGUGAAGCCAAUCCCGUAAAAUCGGUCUCAGUCCGGAUUGGAGUCUGCAACUCGACUCCAUGAAGUUGGAAUCGCUAGUAAUCGUGGAUCAGCAUGCCACGGUGAAUACGUUCCCGGGCCUU
rnacentral:rRNA from 1 species